CCUCCCUGGCAAUGGUUAAAGAGGCACCUUGUUGGCAGUGUUUUCAUAUAAGUCAGGGGAAGAGCAGAUGGUCGUUCUUUGUUCAACCUAGCUUGAUGUCUGGCUUGGUGGCCAAAGAUGUUUCAUGACUAGGACACACAA